UUAAGCGUUUGAGAGAUGGAGUGACACAGUAGGAUAAGCUAACCGUACUGUUGGUUAUGUACGGCUAAGCAUUGAGGCAGUCUAAAUAGGCAAAUCCGUUUAGACAAUGCUAGGAUGUGAUGGGGAAGCCCUUCGGGGCGAAGUAGCUGAUUUCACACUGUCAAGAAAAGCUUCUAUCGAGUUUAAAGGCGCCCGUACCGUAAACCGACACAGGUGGGUGAGGAGAGUAUCCUAAGGCCAGCGAGAGAACUAUUGUUAAGGAACUCGGCAAAAUGACCCCGUAACUUAGGGAGAAGGGGUGCCUGUCUAUGACAGGCCGCAGAGAAUAGGCCCAAGCGACUGUUUACCAAAAACACAGGUUUCUGCUAAGUCGCAAGACGAUGUAUAGGAGCUGACGCCUGCCCGGUGCUGGAAGGUUAAGGGGAACUGUUAGAGCAAUCGAAGCAGUGAACUUAAGCCCCAGUAAACGGCGGCCGUAACAAUAACGGUCCUAAGGUAGCGAAAUUCCUUGUCGGGUAAGUUCCGACCCGCACGAAAGGCGUAACGAUUUGGGCACUGUCUCAACAAUAGACUCGGUGAAAUUGUAAUCCCGGUGAAGAUGCCGGGUACCUGCGACAGGACGGAAAGACCCCAUGGAGCUUUACUGUAGCUUGACGUUGGGUCUUGGUACUACAUGUACAGGAUAGGUGGGAGACUAUGAAGCAUGGACGCCAGUCUGUGUGGAGUCAUCCUUGGGGUACCACCCUUGUAGUACUGGGAUCCUAACCAUAGGCCUUGAAUCAGGUCUUGGAACACCGUCAGGUGGGCAGUUUGACUGGGGCGGUCGCCUCCUAAAAAGUAACGGAGGCGCUCAAAGGUUUCCUCAGCACGGUCGGAAAUCGUGCGAAGAGUGUAAAGGCAAAAGGAAGCUUGAUUGCAAGACAUACAGGUCGAGCAAGGACGAAAGUCGGACUUAGUGAUCCGGUGGUACCGCACGGAAGGGCCAUCGCUCAACGGAUAAAAGCUACCCUGGGGAUAACAGGCUUAUCUCCCCCAAGAGUCCACAUCGACGGGGAGGUUUGGCACCUCGAUGUCGGCUCAUCACAUCCUGGGGCUGUAGUAGGUCCCAAGGGUUGGGCUGUUCGCCCAUUAAAGUGGUACGCGAGCUGGGUUCAGAACGUCGUGAGACAGUUCGGUCCCUAUCCGUCGCAGGCGUAGGAAAUUUGAGAAGACCUGUCCUUAGUACGAGAGGACCGGGAUGGACGUACCUCUGGUGUACCAGUUGUUCUGCCAAGGGCAUGGCUGAGUAGCUAUGUACGGAAUGGAUAAGCGCUGAAAGCAUCUAAGCGCGAAGCCAACUUCAAGAUAAGAUUUCCCACCGUAAGGGUAAGACCCCAGGAAGACUACCUGGUUGAUAGGUCGAAGGUGUA
rnacentral:rRNA from 1 species